AUUGAACGCUGGCGGCAUGCCUUACACAUGCAAGUCGAACGGCAGCACGGGGGCAACCCUGGUGGCGAGUGGCGAACGGGUGAGUAACAUAUCGGAACAUACCCUAGAGUGGGGGAUAACGUAGCGAAAGUUACGCUAAUACCGCAUACGAUCUAAGGAUGAAAGUGGGGGAUCUUCGGACCUCAUGCUCAUGGAGUGGCCGAUAUCUGAUUAGCUAGUUGGUGAGGUAAAGGCUCACCAAGGCGACGAUCAGUAGCUGGUUUGAGAGAACGACCAGCCACACUGGAACUGAGACACGGUCCAGACUCCUACGGGAGGCAGCAGUGGGGAAUUUUGGAC
rnacentral:rRNA from 1 species